UACAGAGGUCCCAAGCGUUGUUCGGAUUCACUGGGCGUAAAGGGUGCGUAGGCGGUCGGGUAAGUCUGGCGUGAAAUCUCCAAGCCUAACUUGGAAACUGCGUUGGAUACUAUCCGGCUCGAGGAAUGGAGGGGAGACUGGAAUACUUGGUGUAGCAGUGAAAUGCGUAGAUAUCAAGUGGAACACCAGUGGCGAAGGCGAGUCUCUGGACAUUUCCUGACGCUGAGGCACGAAAGUCAGGGGAGCAAACGGG
rnacentral:rRNA from 1 species